CUCCUGCUUCAGCUUCCCGGAAUGCUGAGGUUACAGGUGUCGGGGAUUUUGUCUCAGCAAGGAGAGAAGAGUAACAGGCAUUUCCCUGCAGGUGGCCACCCAUCUGUCAGCCCCUCUCCUGGGACAGAAGAUGCCCCUGCCUGUCUGCUUCUCACGGUCUAGUUGGAAACAACAUCCAAGCUGUGUACCGAGUCUUUAACACUGAACACUAUCCUCAAGGCGCAUCUCAGCUGGUAGAGUACUCUGCCAUAAAGACGGAUGAGCUUGAUCAGUGGCAUCGCACCUGCCUUGCAAGCACAAGAUCCCAAGUUCGAUCCCCAGUACCAAAAAAAAGAAAAAGUCUGAGCUUGAGACAUUUAUAGCUAAAUGGCAAUAAACUGGACACACAUUUAAAUACUGCAUUGUUUCUCUGGUGUGAUAAACCCGAAGAAAUAAGGACUAAAAUCUACAAUAGACACUGGGAAAUAGGAAGAAAAUGUUCAAAUGAGAAGGAACAAAGGAGGGGGAGGGGCAAAGGAAGAAGGGACAAGAAAAAAAUCAAAGGAAAAAAUAGAAACAGCUUUUGUACAUAAGCGGUGGGGGAACAACAAAGACGAAGCAAGAUAUAGCAUGUACAAAUUCCCUAUGAUGAAUGUGAUCAUAAUGUAUAUCUAAAAUGUACCAAUAAAUGCUUUUCUAAAAAAAAAUGAGGAUCUAAGGGCAUCAGUUCCUUAGUUUGCAAAAAAUGCUGGGC
rnacentral:lncRNA from 1 species